rnacentral:rRNA from 1 species
UGUGACAUACCUAUUGUUGCCUCGGCGGUGCCUGUUCCGACAGCCCGCCAGAGGACCCCAAACCCUGAUUACAUUUAAGAAGUCUUCUGAGUAACCGAUUAAAUAAAUCAAAACUUUCAACAACGGAUCUCUUGGUUCUGGCAUCGAUGAAGAACGCAGCGAAAUGCGAUAAGUAAUGUGAAUUGCAGAAUUCAGUGAAUCAUCGAAUCUUUGAACGCACAUUGCGCCCGCUAGUAUUCUGGCGGGCAUGCCUGUUCGAGCGUCAUUUCAACCCUCAAGCCCCCGGGCUUGGUGUUGGGGAUCGGCGAGCCUCCGCGCCCGCCAUCCCCCAAAUCUAGUGGCGGUCUCGCUGUAACUUCCUCUGCUUAGUAUUCACCUCGCACUGGGAAACAGCGCGGCCACGCCGUUAAACCCCCAACUUCUGAAAGUUUGACCGCGUAUCAGGUAGGAAUACCCGCUGAACUUAAGCAUAUCAAUAAGCGGAGG